rnacentral:rRNA from 1 species
ACGCUGGCGGCAGGCCUAACACAUGCAAGUCGAGCGGUAGAGAGAAGCUUGCUUCUCUUGAGAGCGGCGGACGGGUGAGUAAUGCCUAGGAAUCUGCCUGGUAGUGGGGGAUAACGUUCGGAAACGGACGCUAAUACCGCAUACGUCCUACGGGAGAAAGCAGGGGACCUUCGGGCCUUGCGCUAUCAGAUGAGCCUAGGUCGGAUUAGCUAGUUGGUGAGGUAAUGGCUCACCAAGGCGACGACCCGUAACUGGUCUGAGAGGAUGAUCAGUCACACUGGAACUGAGACACGGUCCAGACUCCUACGGGAGGCAGCAGUGGGGAAUAUUGGACAAUGGGCGAAAGCCUGAUCCAGCCAUGCCGCGUGUGUGAAGAAGGUCUUCGGAUUGUAAAGCACUUUAAGUUGGGAGGAAGGGCAGUUACCUAAUACGUGAUUGUUUUGACGUUACCGACAGAAUAAGCACCGGCUAACUCUGUGCCAGCAGCCGCGGUAAUACAGAGGGUGCAAGCGUUAAUCGGAAUUACUGGGUGUAAAGCGCGCGUAGGUGGUUUGUUAAGUUGGAUGUGAAAUCCCCGGGCUCAACCUGGGAACUGCAUUCAAAACUGACUGACUAGAGUAUGGUAGAGGGUGGUGGAAUUUCCUGUGUAGCGGUGAAAUGCGUAGAUAUAGGAAGGAACACCAGUGGCGAAGGCGACCACCUGGACUAAUACUGACACUGAGGUGCGAAAGCGUGGGGAGCAAAC